rnacentral:ncRNA from 2 species
CGCUCACGUUGGGGGUGCCGCGCGGAUCACGCUGUGGCUGAGAGAGUCCCUUCGAACCUGUACGGGUCAUGCCGUCGUAGGGAAGCGGAGCGCACGGGGU